rnacentral:rRNA from 1 species
CCUACGGGAGGCAGCAGUAGGGAAUCUUCGGCAAUGGACGGAAGUCUGACCGAGCAACGCCGCGUGAGUGAAGAAGGUUUUCGGAUCGUAAAGCUCUGUUGUAGGAGAAGAACGAGUGUGAGAGUGGAAAGUUCACACUGUGACGGUAUCUUACCAGAAAGGGACGGCUAACUACGUGCCAGCAGCCGCGGUAAUACGUAGGUCCCGAGCGUUGUCCGGAUUUAUUGGGCGUAAAGCGAGCGCAGGCGGUUAGAUAAGUCUGAAGUUAAAGGCUGUGGCUUAACCAUAGUACGCUUUGGAAACUGUUUAACUUGAGUGCAGAAGGGGAGAGUGGAAUUCCAUGUGUAGCGGUGAAAUGCGUAGAUAUAUGGAGGAACACCGGUGGCGAAAGCGGCUCUCUGGUCUGUAACUGACGCUGAGGCUCGAAAGCGUGGGGAGCAAACAGGAUUAGAUACCCUGGUAGUCCACGCCGUAAACGAUGAGUGCUAGGUGUUGGGUCCUUUCCGGGACUCAGUGCCGCAGCUAACGCAUUAAGCACUCCGCCUGGGGAGUACGACCGCAAGGUUGAAACUCAAAGGAAUUGACGG